rnacentral:rRNA from 1 species
UACGUAGGUGGCAAGCGUUGUCCGGAAUUACUGGGCGUAAAGCGUGCGCAGGCGGUUUUGUAAGCCAGAUGUGAAAUCCCCGGGCUCAACCUGGGAAUGGCAUUUGGGACUGCAAGGCUGGAGUGUGGCAGAGGAGACUGGAAUUCCUGGUGUAGCAGUGAAAUGCGUAGAUAUCAGGAGGAAUACCGAUGGCGAAGGCAGGUCUCUGGGCUGACACUGACGCUCAUGCACGAAAGCGUGGGGAGCAAACAGG